UCCCUGGUGGUCCAGUGGCUAAGACUCUGCACUCCCAGUGGAGGGCCCAGGUUCAAUCCCUGGCCAGGGAA